CAGUGGCUGGUCUCCUCUCGAAUAACAUGUCUGUGUGUGCUUGAUGGAGCUCUGCAGUUCAUGUCAAGUCUGUUUUAACGAGGUAACCCAACUUCAUGUGGACCAGAGCGCACCACUGAAAGUUACAAGUCUGCAGUUGAUCAGUUAGAGGCUGAAAAUGUGCCAGAUGUUCAAGGAAUAAAGUUCAGAUAUGGCAGAAUCAGAAAUACAGAAGAUAAGCAGUGCCAUUACUGCAGUGUUUCCUGAUCUUCCUGAAGCAGUUCUGAAUUCAGUUAUAGACACAUUGAAGGCACUUGGUGCAGAGACCACAGAUGAUCUGAAGUACAUUACAGAAGGAGACUUGCUGCCAGCACUGAAGCCAAUACAAGCCAGAAGACUUGUUGUUUCCUGGGCACAGAAC